UUUUUUUUAAUAAAAUGAAACGAGCAUUUGCACAAUUAUGUCCCUAUUUGUUAACUUCAAAUCACCUGUGAUGAUCAUAUAUUAUAUCAAAAUCAACGAUCAUAUAACCAUAAUCCAACACGUAUGUUCUAAGGUUAUAAAAACAUCUAUAGGCCAUUUCAAAGGUUAUACAAGACAGGACCCCCAAAAUACGACACAAUAG
rnacentral:lncRNA from 1 species